CCUACGGGUGGCAGCAGUGAGGAAUAUUGGUCAAUGGGCGGAAGCCUGAACCAGCCAAGUCGCGUGAGGGAUUAAGGCCCUGCGGGUCGUAAACCUCUUUUGCCGGGGAGCAGUGGUCCGGACGUGUCCGGGCCGGGAGAGUACCCGGAGAAAAAGCAUCGGCUAACUCCGUGCCAGCAGCCGCGGUAAUACGGAGGAUCCGAGCGUUAUCCGGAUUUAUUGGGUUUAAAGGGAGCGUAGAUGGGUUGUUAAGUCAGUUGUGAAAGUUUGCGGCUCAACCGUAAAAUUGCAAUUGAUACUGGCAGCCUUGAGUACAGUUGAGGUAGGCGGAAUUCGUGGUGUAGCGGUGAAAUGCUUAGAUAUCACGAAGAACUCCGAUUGCGAAGGCAGCCUACUAAACUGCCACUGACAUUGAUGCUCGAAAGUGUGGGUAUCAAACAGGAUUAGAUACCCCAGUAGUC
rnacentral:rRNA from 1 species